rnacentral:rRNA from 1 species
UAGAGUUUGAUCCUGGCUCAGGAUGAACGCUAGCUACAGGCUUAACACAUGCAAGUCGAGGGGCAGCGUGGGGUAGCAAUACUCCGACGGCGACCGGCGAAUGGGUGAGUAACACGUAUCCAACCUACCUCUGGCUCAGGGAUAGCCCUUAGAAAUGAGGAUUAAUACCUGAUGGUGUCGCAUGAUCGCAUGAGAGCGCGACUAAAGAUUCAUCGGCGAGGGAUGGGGAUGCGUCUGAUUAGUUAGUUGGCGGGGUAACGGCCCACCAAGACGACGAUCAGUAGGGGUUCUGAGAGGAAGGUCCCCCACAUUGGUACUGAGACACGGACCAAACUCCUACGGGAGGCAGCAGUGAGGAAUAUUGGUCAAUGGGCGCAAGCCUGAACCAGCCAAGUAGCGUGAAGGAUGACGGCCCUAUGGGUUGUAAACUUCUUUUGUCGGGGGAUAAAGCGGGCCACGUGUGGCCCUUUGCAGGUACCCGAUGAAUAAGGACCGGCUAAUUCCGUGCCAGCAGCCGCGGUAAUACGGAAGGUCCGAGCGUUAUCCGGAUUUAUUGGGUUUAAAGGGAGCGUAGGUGGAAUGGUAAGUCAGCCGUCAAAUCGCGGAGCUCAACUCCGUCCAGCGGUUGAUACUGUCAUUCUUGAGUGCACAAGAGGCAGGUGGAAUUCGAGGUGUAGCGGUGAAAUGCUUAGAUAUCUCGAAGAACUCCGAUUGCGAAGGCAGCUUGCUGGGGUGCAACUGACACUGAGGCUCGAAGGUGCGGGUAUCAAACAGGAUUAGAUACCCUGGUAGUCCGCACAGUAAACUAUGGAUGCUCGCGAUGCGGGACUAGCUUCUACGUCGCCUAGCGAAAGCGUUAAGCAUCCCACCUGGGGAGUACGCCGGCAACGGUGAAACUCAAAGGAAUUGACGGGGGCCCGCACAAGCAGUGGAUUAUGUGGUUUAAUUCGAAGCAACGCGAAGAACCUUAUCAGGUCUUGACAUCCAGGUAAAGCUGCAGAGAUGCAGUGUGUGCUUGCACAAUCUGAGACAGGUGGUGCAUGGUUGUCGUCAGCUCGUGUCGUGAGAUGUUGGGUUAAGUCCCGCAACGAGCGCAACCCUUGUGAUCAGUUACUAACGGGUAAAGCCGAGGACUCUGAUAAGACUGCCGGGGACAACUCGGAGGAAGGUGGGGACGACGUCAAAUCAUCAUGCCCCUUAUGACCUGGGCUACACACGUGCUACAAUGGCCACUACAGAGAGAAGCGAAUACGAGAGUAAGAGCGGAUCUCAAAAAAGUGGUCCCAGUUCGGAUUGUGGGCUGCAACCCGCCCACAUGAAGUCGGAGUUGCUAGUAAUCGCGGAUCAGCAUGCCGCGGUGAAUACGUUCCCGGGCCUUGCACUCACCGCCCGUCAAG